rnacentral:rRNA from 1 species
UAGGGAAUCUUCCGCAAUGGGCGAAAGCCUGACGGAGCAACGCCGCGUGAGUGAUGAAGGUCUUCGGAUCGUAAAACUCUGUUAUUAGGGAAGAACAAAUGUGUAAGUAACUAUGCACAUCUUGACGGUACCUAAUCAGAAAGCCACGGCUAACUACGUGCCAGCAGCCGCGGUAAUACGUAGGUGGCAAGCGUUGUCCGGAUUUAUUGGGCGUAAAGCGAGCGCAGGCGGUUAGAUAAGUCUGAAGUUAAAGGCAGUGGCUCAACCAUUGUAGGCUUUGGAAACUGUUUAACUUGAGUGCAGAAGGGGAGAGUGGAAUUCCAUGUGUAGCGGUGAAAUGCGUAGAUAUAUGGAGGAACACCGGUGGCGAAAGCGGCUCUCUGGUCUGUAACUGACGCUGAGGCUCGAAAGCGUGGGGAGCGAACAGG